CCUACGGGAGGCAGCAGUGAGGAAUAUUGGUCAAUGGGAGAAAUCCUGAACCAGCCAAGCCGCGUGAGGGAAGACGGCCCUAUGGGUUGUAAACCUCUUUUGUCGGAGAACAAAACCCGGGACGUGUCCCGGACUGCGUGUACCCGAAGAAAAAGCAUCGGCUAACACCGUGCCAGCAGCCGCGGUAAUACGGGGGAUACGAGCGUUAUCCGGAUUUAUGGGGUUUAAAGGGUGCGUGGGCGGUCCGUUAUGUCAGAGGGAAAAGUUCGAGGCUAAACCCCGACGAGCCGGUGAAACUGGCAGACUUGAGUUUGGGAGAAGUACGCGGAAUGCGCGGUGUAGCGGUGAAAUGCAUAGAUAUCGGGCAGAACACCGAUUGCGAAGGCAGCGUACCGG
rnacentral:rRNA from 1 species